CACGUAGUUAGCCGUGGCUUCCUCAUAAAGUACCGUCACUUGCAUGUCAUUCCCUACAUGCAUCGUUCUUCCUUUAUAACAGAGGUUUACAUACCGAAAUACUUCCUCCCUCACGCGGCGUUGCUCGGUCAGGGUUUCCCCCAUUGCCGAAAAUUCCCUACUGCUGCCUCCCGUAGGAGUCUGGGCCGUGUCUCAGUCCCAGUGUGGCCGUCCACCCUCUCAGGUCGGCUACGCAUCGUCGCCUUGGUAGGCCGUUACCCUACCAACUAGCUAAUGCGCCAUAAGUCCAUCCUUCAGCUAUCCCGUGGGAUAUUUAAUAUGUAGAUCAUGCGAUCUUCAUACCUAUGCGGUCUUAGCUAUCAUUUCUAAUAGUUAUCCCCCUCUUAAGGCCAGGUUACUUAUGUAUUACUCACCCGUUCGCCACUCAUAUCCGAAGAUAUGCGUUCGACUUGCAUGUAUUAGGCACGCCGCCAGCGUUCAUCCUGAGCCAGGAUCAAA
rnacentral:rRNA from 1 species